rnacentral:rRNA from 1 species
UACGGGGGGGGCAAGCGUUGUUCGGAAUUACUGGGCGUAAAGGGCUCGUAGGUGGCCAACUAAGUCAUACGUGAAAUCCCUCAGCUUAACUGGGGAACUGCGUCUGAUACUGGAUGGCUUGAGUUUGGGAGAGGGAUGCGGAAUUCCAGGUGUAGCGGUGAAAUGCGCAGAUAUCGGGAGGAACACCAAUGGCGAAGGCAGCUCGCUGGGACGGUACUGACGCUGAGACGCGAAAGCGUGGGGAGCAAACAGG